rnacentral:rRNA from 1 species
AGGACGAACGCUGGCGGCGUGCUUAACACAUGCAAGUCGAGCGGAAAGGCCCUUCGGGGUACUCGAGCGGCGAACGGGUGAGUAACACGUGAGUAACCUGCCCUAGGCUUUGGGAUAACCCUCGGAAACGGGGGCUAAUACCGGAUAUUCACUGCUGAUCGCAUGGUUGGUGGUGGAAAGUUUUUCGGUCUGGGAUGGGCUCGCGGCCUAUCAGCUUGUUGGUGGGGUAAUGGCCCACCAAGGCGACGACGGGUA